rnacentral:rRNA from 1 species
UACGAAGGGGGCUAGCGUUGUUCGGAUUUACUGGGCGUAAAGCGCACGUAGGCGGGUCGUUAAGUCAGGGGUGAAAUCCCGGAGCUCAACUCCAGAACUGCCUUUGAUACUGAAGAUCUUGAGUUCGGGAGAGGUGAGUGGAACUGCGAGUGUAGAGGUGAAAUUCGUAGAUAUUCGCAAGAACACCAGUGGCGAAGGCGGCUCACUGGCCCGAUACUGACGCUGAGGCACGAAAAGCGUGGGGAGCAAACAGG